rnacentral:tRNA from 1 species
GCGCCGGUGGUGUAAUGGCGUAGAGCAUUCCCGCCCGGUCAGUCAGAGGAAGGUGCGGGUUCGAGUCCCGCUUGGCGCU